rnacentral:rRNA from 1 species
UACGAGGGGUCCAAGCGUUGUUCGGAAUCAUUGGGCGUAAAGCGCACGUAGGCGGCUUUCUAAGUCGGGGGUGAAAUCCUGGAGCUCAACUCCAGAACUGCCUUCGAUACUGGAGAGCUUGAGUCCGGGAGAGGUGAGUGGAACUGCGAGUGUAGAGGUGAAAUUCGUAGAUAUUCGCAAGAACACCAGUGGCGAAGGCGGCUCACUGGCCCGGUACUGACGCUGAGGUGCGAAAGCGUGGGGAGCAAACAGG